rnacentral:rRNA from 1 species
AUUGAACGCUGGCGGCAUGCUUUACACAUGCAAGCCGAACGGUAACAGGUUAAGCUGACGAGUGGCGAACGGGUGAGUAAUGCAUCGGAACGUGCCCGGUCGUGGGGGAUAACGCAGCGAAAGCUGCGCUAAUACCGCAUACGAUCUAAGGAUGAAAGCGGGGGACCGUAAGGCCUCGCGCGAUCGGAGCGGCCGAUGUCAGAUUAGGUAGUUGGUGGGGUAAAGGCUCACCAAGCCAACGAUCUGUAGCGGGUCUGAGAGGACGACCAGCGACACUGGGACUGGGACACGGCCCAGACUCCUCCGGGAGGCAGCAGUGGGGAAUUUUGGACAAUGGGCGAAAGCCUGAUCCAGCAAUGCCGCGUGCAGGAAGAAGGCCUUCGGGUUGUAAACUGCUUUUGUACGGAGCGAAAAGGUCUCCUCUAAUACAGGGGGCUCAUGACGGUACCGUAAGAAUAAGCACCGGCUAACUACGUGCCAGCAGCCGCGGUAA